rnacentral:rRNA from 1 species
UACGGAGGGGGCUAGCGUUGUUCGGAAUUACUGGGCGUAAAGCGCACGUAGGCGGAUUGGAAAGUUGGGGGUGAAAUCCCAGGGCUCAACCCUGGAACUGCCUUCAAAACUACCAGUCUAGAGUUCUGGAGAGGUGAGUGGAAUUCCGAGUGUAGAGGUGAAAUUCGUAGAUAUUCGGAGGAACACCAGUGGCGAAGGCGGCUCACUGGCCAGAUACUGACGCUGAGGUGCGAAAGCGUGGGGAGCAAACAGG